rnacentral:rRNA from 1 species
AUACGGAGGAUCCGAGCGUUAUCCGGAUUUAUUGGGUUUAAAGGGUGCGCAGGCGGCCAUUUAAGUCAGCGGUUAAAUCGUGGGGCUCAACCCCAUUCUGCCGUUGAUACUGGGUGGCUUGAUUGCGGUCGAGGUUGGCGGAAUUCGUUGUGUAGCGGUGAGAUGCAUAGAUAUGACGAAGAACACCGAUUGCGUAGGCAGCUGACCAGACCGCAAAUGACGCUCAUGCACGAAAGUGCGGGGAUCGAACAGGAUUAGAUACCCUGGUAGUCCGCACAGUAAACGAUGAAUACUUGUUUUCGGCGAUAUAAUGUCGGAGGCAAAGCGAAAGCGAUAAGUAUUCCACCUGGGGAGUACGCCGGCAACGGUGAAACUCAAAGGAAUUGACGGGG